rnacentral:tRNA from 1 species
GGGUUUUUAGUAUAUUUUAGUAUUUUUGAUUGCAGAUCAUUUGGUUUUAGCCUU